rnacentral:sRNA from 1 species
GUGAGAGGUGCCCUGGCAGAGGCCCUUUAUCCACAGGAGAAGGGCACCCUGGGCACAGGGCGAGCUUCCCCACACCCGGGCUCCCACCUGCACGUCUCAGCCCUGCCACCUCUAUCGGUGAGAGGGGAGUUCAGGCUCCGAGCCCCAUCCAAUCCUUGGCCUCU